rnacentral:lncRNA from 1 species
GCUAAAACUACACAUGUUUUUUAUGUGAAAAUUUAGAUUUUGAAAUGUGCAUUUCGAUAUUCGGGCGGCUAAAGCAAACGUUUCUUUAUUGUUUUUCUAUCUCUGCGUUUUUGGACGAUGUUGCCAAUUUAGAUCGGGGGGAAGGAGAGCAUGCCCCAUAAUUUUUUUCUCUGCACUGCUUUUUUGGUUUUGCUUGGGGAGAAGGGUAGGGUUCCUAGAUGUUUUAGAUCACGCACAGAUAGGGGCUGCUGGG